rnacentral:rRNA from 1 species
AGCAGGCGAGAAAACUUUGCAAUGUGCGAAAGCACGACAAGGUUAAUCCGAGUGGUUUCUGCUAAAGAAACCUUUUGUCGGUCCUAGAAACACCGAUGAAUAAGGGGUGGGCAAGUUCUGGUGUCAGCCGCCGCGGUAAAACCAGCACCUCAAGUGGUCAGGAUGAUUAUUGGGCCUAAAGCAUCCGUAGCCGGCUCUGUAAGUUUUCGGUUAAAUCUGUACGCUCAACGUACAGGCUGCCGGGAAUACUGCAGAGCUAGGGAGUGGGAGAGGUAGACGGUACUCGGUAGGAAGGGGUAAAAUCCUUUGAUCUAUUGAUGACCACCUGUGGCGAAGGCGGUCUACCAGAACACGUCCGACGGUGAGGGAUGAAAGCUGGGGGAGCAAACCGGAUUAGAUACCCGGGUAGUCCCAGCUGUAAACUAUGCAAACUCAGUGAUGCAUUGGCUUGUGGCCAAUGCAGUGCUGCAGGGAAGCCGUUAAGUUUGCCGCCUGGGAAGUACGUACGCAAGUAUGAAACUUAAAGGAAUUGGCGGGGGAGCACCACAAGGGGUGAAGCCUGCGGUUCAAUUGGAGUCAACGCCAGAAAUCUUACCCGGAGAGACAGCAGAAUGAAGGUCAAGCUGAAGACUUUACCAGACAAGCUGAGAGGUGGUGCAUGGCCGUCGCCAGCUCGUGCCGUGAGAUGUCCUGUUAAGUCAGGUAACGAGCGAGAUCCCUGCCUCUAGUUGCCACCAUUACUCUCAGGAGUAGUGGGGCGAAUUAGCGGGACCGCCGCAGUUAAUGCGGAGGAAGGAAGGGGCCACGGCAGGUCAGUAUGCCCCGAAACUCUGGGGCCACACGCGGGCUGCAAUGGUAAUGACAAUGGGUUCCGAAUCCGAAAGGAGGAGGUAAUCCCCAAACAUUACCACAGUUAUGACUGAGGGCUGCAACUCGCCCUCACGAAUAUGGAAUCCCUAGUAACUGCGUGUCAUUAUCGCGCGGUGAAUACGUCCCUGCUCCUUGCACACACCGCCCGUCGUUUCAUUGAAGUGAGCUCUUAGCGAGGUGACGUCUGAUUGGCGUUAUCGAACUUGGGGUUCGUGACAAGGGAAAAGUCGUAACAAGGUAACC